rnacentral:rRNA from 1 species
CCCUUAGAUGUCCUGGGCCGCACGCGCGUUACACUGAUGCAUUCAACGAGCUUAUAACCUUGGCCGAGAGGCCUGGGCAAUCUUGUUAACGUGCAUCGUGAUAGGGAUAGAUUAUUGAAAUUAUUAAUCUUGAACGAGGAAUUCCUAGUAAACGCAGAUCAUCAAUCUGCAUUGAUUACGUCCCUGCCCUUUGUACACACCGCCCGUCGCACCUACCGAUUGGAUGGUCCGGUGAAGCCUCGGGAUUGUGGUUCUUGCCGCUUUAUUGUGGCGUGACCGCGAGAACUUGUCUAAACCUUAUCAUCUAGAGGAAGGUGAAGUCGUAACA